rnacentral:lncRNA from 1 species
CCUACUUCUUGACCACCGGACAGACUAUGAGCCUUAUGAAGACCAGGCUCUUAUCUUCUUCACAGCUCUAACCCAAGCACAGCCCUGUCACAGAGUGGAUGCUCAGCACAUGUUUGAUGAAGUUUUCGUGUUCCACCUGGAUUCUGAAUCUUUUGCAUAUCCUCAGACUGGAAACUCCUGAGCUGCAAAGAUCCUGUCCUUCAAAACCCUCACUUCUUCCCAAGCUGAACACCGUUCGUUGUCAUAGGAGAAGAAAGAAAUUUACAGUUAUAUCCUGUUAAAUUUAAUACGGAAGACAGAAAAGUCCAAUUCUGAGGCCACCUCGUGAAGACACUGCACUUUAUUUAACACAAUGUUUUAAAGAUUUUUUUUUAUUUCUAACAAACACAAUAACCAAUCCAAGCCAAGAAAGAUUGAAGUUUUUACUAGCUUCAGGCAUUUAUUUGUCAAAUGAGCAUUUUUCUUCUAAAAGAAGAAAUCUUUUCUUAACAAGGAAGAAACAAGUCGUUUACUUGUCGAUGAACUAACAAAAAAUGGUUUUAGUGGAGUAACGUGACAGAGCAAAGGAUCAAGGAAAAACAGAAUUCCUUUUUCAUGUGAGACAUUCAUCAGCAAAGAAAUUAUUUUGAACAGAGCUAUUAAAAAGGUAGUCUGUUUAUUUAACUCUAAAAAUUCAAAGAGGCUGGAGAAAAUACAGCAAAAUUCUUUGCAAAGAGCAUACAUUCCAUGCACUCAUUUCUUUUUAUUGCUUUUAUGUAAGCCGUAUGCCACAGUGGGAUCCUAAGUAUUCUCUUCUCUGGUUAAGCCUUUUUUAAAUAACUCUAUAUAAGUCUUUUCCUGAAACUAGUGACAUCCUUCAAAUUAAUUAUGAUUUGAAGAAUUUGUCAAUAAAUAAGAAUAGUGUCUAAUAUAUGCCUGUGUU